rnacentral:rRNA from 1 species
GAAGAAGGUGUGGAGUUGCGCGUUGUCAUUUAUAAACUGAUUGUUAGAGUUCUUCGAUUUGUCGCAAAGCUUGACGAUGGCAGCGAGCAUCAAGUUUCCCAGCAUGAUGUGGAAUUUGAGGUUAACAUGAAACGUUUUACUGUUGAAAAACUGAUAGAACUCAUUGGGUCCAAAGUUGUUUGGGGGAGUGGGCAGGAGGUCCAUAUUUUGUGCAAGGACAAGCAUUUUGAAUCAGUUGAGAGGAUUGAUAACUACUGGAAAUUGCUCACAUCAUUUCUUGAGAGAUGGGAAGAGAAAGAAUUGCUUGUGCUAGCUCAAGUUGUGGACAUUGCAGAGGGGGUUACAGCAUCAUCUUGUUCAGAAAAUAUCCCAUCUAGUGAGAUAGUAGACAACAUCAUUUGUUCAAGUUCUGACAUUUACCAGUCAAAUGCUAGUAGUGCAUCAUGUGUUGAUGAUUCUACAAAUUGUAAUGUGCUUCGUAAUAAUGAGAGAUAUGUGCAAUCUGAUGGUGGUGUUGUCAUUGAUUGGUCAACUCUUGAGAUAACUCCUAUUGGUGAUGAUAUAAUAGCUCCUAUGUCACAGGAAAACAUGUGUGAGGUACUUGGAAUUGAGGAUGAGGUUGAGGAUGCUCAACCAGUAAAGGAUCCAGCUCCAGUUGUUGUGUGA